AUCACUUUGGGGGUCUUGUUAAAAUGCAGAUUCUUAUUGGGGGCGGGGCCUAAGAAUCUUCAUUUGUAACAAGCUCCCAGGUGCUGCGAU
rnacentral:pre_miRNA from 1 species